CGUUGAAACACCAGUUCCUGUACGAUCACUGAAGUUAAGCAAUAUCAAUCCUGGUCAGUACCUAGAUGGAUGACCAUUUGGGAAUACCAGGUGCUC